rnacentral:rRNA from 1 species
CCUACGGGAGGCUGCAGUCGAGAAUCAUUCACAAUGGGGGAAACCCUGAUGGUGCGACGCCGCGUGGGGGAAUGAAGGUCUUCGGAUUGUAAACCCCUGUCAUGUGGGAGCAAAUUAAAAAGAUAGUACCACAAGAGGAAGAGAAGGCUAACUCUGUGCCAGCAGCCGCGGUAAUACAGAGGUCUCAAGCGUUGUUCGGAAUCACUGGGCGUAAAGCGUGCGUAGGCGGUUUCGUAAGUCGUGUGUGAAAGGCGCGGGCUCAACCCGCGGACUGCACAUGAUACUGCGAGACUAGAGUGAUGGAGGGGGAACUGGAAUUCUCGGUGUAGCAGUGAAAUGCGUAGAUAUCGGGAGGAACACUCGUGGCGAAGGCGGGUUCCUGGACAUUAACUGACGCUGAGGCACGAAGGCCAGGGGAGCGAAAGGGAUUAGAUACCCCAGUAGUC